AUUGAACGCUGGCGGCAUGCUUUACACAUGCAAGUCGAACGGCAGCACGGGUGCUUGCACCUGGUGGCGAGUGGCGGACGGGUGAGUAAUGCAUCGGAACGUGUCCUGAAGUGGGGGGAUAACGCAUCGAAAGAUGUGCUAAUACCGCAUAUUCUCUGAGGAGGAAAGUAGGGGAUCGAAAGACCUUAUGCUUUUGGAGCGGCCGAUGUCUGAUUAGCUAGUUGGUAGGGUAAUGGCCUACCAAGGCGACGAUCAGUAGCGGGUCUGAGAGGAUGAUCCGCCACACUGGAACUGAGACACGGUCCAGACUCCUACGGGAGGCAGCAGUGGGGAAUUUUGGACAAGUGGGGGCAACCCGUGAUCCAGCCAUUCCGCGUGAGUGAAGAA
rnacentral:rRNA from 1 species